CCUACGGGCGGCAGCAGUGAGGAAUAUUGGUCAAUGGACGAGAGUCUGAACCAGCCAAGUAGCGUGAAGGAUGACUGCCCUAUGGGUUGUAAACUUCUUUUAUAUGGGAAUAAAACGUUCCACGUGUGGGAUUUUGUAUGUACCAUAUGAAUAAGGAUCGGCUAACUCCGUGCCAGCAGCCGCGGUAAUACGGAGGGUCCGAGCGUUAUCCGGAUUUAUUGGGUUUAAAGGGAGCGUAGGUGGAUUGUUAAGUCAGUUGUGAAAGUUUGCGGCUCAACCGUAAAAUUGCAGUUGAAACUGGCAGUCUUGAGUACAGUAGAGGUGGGCGGAAUUCGUGGUGUAGCGGUGAAAUGCUUAGAUAUCACGAAGAACUCCGAUUGCGAAGGCAGUUCACUGGACUGCAACUGACACUGAGGCUCGAAAGUGUGGGUAUCAAACAGGAUUAGAUACCCUUGUAGUC
rnacentral:rRNA from 1 species